AGCGAACGCUGGCGGCAGGCCUAACACAUGCAAGUCGAACGAACUCUUCGGAGUUAGUGGCGGACGGGUGAGUAACACGUGGGAACGUGCCAUUUGGUUCGGAAUAACUCAGGGAAACUUGUGCUAAUACCGAAUGUGCCCUUCGGGGGAAAGAUUUAUCGCCAUUAGAGCGGCCCGCGUCUGAUUAGCUAGUUGGUGAGGUAACGGCUCACCAAGGCGACGAUCAGUAGCUGGUCUGAGAGGAUGACCAGCCACACUGGGACUGAGACACGGCCCAGACUCCUACGGGAGGCAGCAGUGGGGAAUCUUGCGCAAUGGGCGAAAGCCUGACGCAGCCAUGCCGCGUGAAUGAUGAAGGUCUGAGGAUUGUAAAAUUCUUUCACCGGGGACGAUAAUGACGGUACCCGGAGAAGAAGCCCCGGCUAACUUCGUG
rnacentral:rRNA from 1 species